rnacentral:rRNA from 1 species
GGUUGAUCCUGCCAGUAGUCAUAUGCUUGUCUCAAAGAUUAAGCCAUGCAUGUCUAAGUAUAAACAAUUCUGUACUGUGAAACUGCGAAUGGCUCAUUAAAUCAGUUAUAGUUUAUUUGAUAAUUUCUUAUUACAUGGAUAACCGUGGUAAUUCUAGAGCUAAUACAUGCAAAAAAGCCCGACUUACGAAGGGCUGUAUUUAUUAGAUAAAAACCAAUGGGGGCAACCUCUUUUUUGGUGAUUCAUAAUAACUUUUCGAAUCGUAUGGCCUUGUGCUGACGAUAUUUCAUUCA